CGCAGGCGCCGCCGCUGCCAUGGCGACGGCGCGAGGCGGGCGGCGGCAGCGCUGAGGGGGAGCGGGGCCGAGCCGGAGCGAUCCCCCGCGGGGAGCUGUCGCCUGGACUGAUUGAAACCUUUAAGCCUUGCUUAGCAGAGGCUAGAGUUUGGCAGAAGUAUUAAAGGUCCUGCUUUCAGCUGGAAUCUAAUAGCCAACAGUUGAAGAAUAGUUUCCAAACAUCCUGUCAGCUAAGAGAUUAUACUGGGAAUCAUGAACAUCAAUGCUUUUGUAAUACUCCCAGGCUCAAAAACUGGAACCUCGGUGAGAUUAAAGGCAAAAACUAUCAGAGAACUGCAGUUGGAGAAAGUGCAGUUAGAAACAGAAAACAAAGAGAUGGAGAAGAAGUUGCAGCAACUACGGUCAAACAUGAGCAGAGAAAAAGAAGAGAGAAGGAAAUCAAGUGCUUAUCGUUGGAAGUCUGGACGGGCAGGACCAAUGACCGUCCAAGCCCGAGUUUUGUCACAAAGCAAAGCAAGCAAUAAUAAGGUUUCUUCAGGAAAGGUGAAGUUGCAAAUACUCAAAGAACAGAUUCAAGAUCCAGUGAAAGAAACACUUAAGCAUGAAAUGGCAAAUGCUGUAGCUCAUGAAAAAUCUGAAGUGAAGGGGGUAGCAUGUGGACUACAUGAAAUUAAGAGUGAGCUGCUGACAGAAGCUGAUAUACAUGUUGGAAAAUUGGAAGUCAAUCACUUCAUGAAGGAAGUAAAUCUGAACGAAUCGAAAAUUAAUCAUGAGGAACAGAAAGUAAAUAGCAAGCAUCAGGUAACAUCAGACAAGUUUUCAUCUCUGCUAGCGUCAGUAGGCAGUGCUGAGGAACUGUCCUCAGAAUCAACCUGUACAGGCCUUGAAAAUCAGGAUGGAGGAUUAUUACUAAAUGGUACAUUUAAUGAGGAGGAAUCUGCUAAGUCUUUUCAGGAAGCUUUGCUUCAAUGGAGAAAAGGUAAUCGUGAUCACAGAGAACAACUGCAUUCCAGUGAGGUCCUAUCAGAAUCUGUGGGAAUUUGUGAGGUACAGACUGAUCUUACUGUUAUGAAGGAACCUGUCCAAAUUGAAUUCAAGAACGAUGGCCUGAGCUACAUGGAGAAACUCUUGCUUAAGAAAUACAGAAGAACUCCUGUUGAUCAAAUUUCUGGUAGCUGCAUUAAAGAUUCAAGGCCUGCGCAAACACUAAGUGUACACCAGGCUGUGACUGGAGGAGAUGAUGAAGAUGUCAAUGACUUAACAGUUGAAGAGGUGAGAAGAUAUUGGACAUCUGUUUUCAGAGAGGAAGUACCCAACACUAUUGCUGAAAGUUCAGAGUCAUCUUUGAAAAUUGAGUUCCUUGAUGAUUCUUGUGGCAAGGACUUGGAAGAAUCAUCUAACUUUUUUUUGAUGGAAGCUGGGACUAUGGGAAUGAAUAAGCAAGGAAAAGGUGAACCACCGAAGCAGUUUGUAAGAAACCCCAUUUCUUCUAAAGAAGUUUCUCAAGAAAAAAUGGUUGACUGCAGCUGUCUUGGAAGAAACGCAGUGCAAAAGGAGGGUAUUAAACUAAAGACUACGAGAAGAUCACUUAGCUCCUGUGAACUACUUGAGAAGUUCUCUAAACCUACUGAACUAAUAAGCAACAAGUAUCUCCUUGAGACACAGCUGCAGAAAACCAAUAAAGAUUCACAAGAACUGGACGGUGUCUGCAGCAGUCAGAGUUUGGUUUUGCCUGUAAUUACAAAGUGUUCAUUGUUACAGGAUGUAGCCAAAAGGCAGAAAUCUAUUUCUACGCGGUAUUGGGGACUUGAAGGUUUCUUUGUAGGUGCAAACUGUGAACAAGCAACGCUUGAAGCACAUUCUCCGCUGUGUGCUGACUCUAGCCCUGUGGACAGUAGUAUCCUGUUUCCAGGAGAUGGAAAGUGGGUUACUGAAAGGAGUUUAAGUGAAUAUGCUGAUGACUCUGUAGUUCAAGGUGUCUUAGAAAGUCAGCUGAAUAGACUUUCAAGUGGUUUGGAGACUCAAAAUAGAAUUUAUCCUCUGGUAGAAUGGAGGUCAUACUCAGGGAAUGAUUCUAGAAGACCUUGGUCGACAAAUGUGCUACACCAUGAACUGACUGGAAAAUGUCCAACAAACACCCAGCCAAGGCCAAAGAGUUCACCCAUGCAUAUGUUAAGAGUUAACACUGAGAUAUCAAAACCCAAGUGCAUUGAUAUAACUAAACAAGAUGAGUAUCUUUGGGAAUAUAUUGCUGACCAAGAAGCCCUACUUAUUCUGGAAAAAGAAUUAUUAAGUUAUACAGGUCCUGAAAAACGUUACAGCUUAACUUCUGAAGAUGUAACCUUCUCCAGCAGACGCUCAGAGAAGACAUGUAGAAAUACAACAGAUUUCUGUAAAAACCUAGAAGUAAAAGACCAAAGCAGAGUUGAUACUCUCAGGGGCUGGGAUGAAAGCCAAAUGGACGAUGAAGAAGAAAUUCUGGAGGAUAAGCAACAAGUUCUUGCAUUACACAGGUAGCAUAAUACUAGCAGUAAACUUGGCUCCUUGUGCUCAGCAUCAGAGAAUCAUGACCUUUAAGAUCAUCAAGUCAAACUGUUAACCUAGCACUGUCAAGUCCACCAGUAAACCAUGUCCGUAAAUCACCAGACAGGACUCUAAAAUUAUUGGAAAUUUUCAAGUAGAAAGAGAAGCUUUAUAUCCUGUUUCACAUCUUCCAUCUCUGUUCCACAAUUCUCUCAUAACUGCUUUAAAUGAGGAGUUUAUAGCAGGAAAAGGUACUUCACUAACCCUAAUUCAUAAAAACCAGAGCCGUCGGGCUGAACAGACCAUUGAUUUGAUUUCCUGCCUCAUUUCUUGUCUUUAAGUUGCAGAUAACUUGCCCAGGCAGCUGUACUCUCAGCAUGUUGUCAAAAUAAAACUUGUCUCAGAAGCCAAAGCAGCCUAGUAAGCUCAUCAAUUUAAAACACAUGGCAAAAGUUAUGGCCCACUCCAAGGGCUCCGUUACUGUAUUCUGCUGUGCAUUCUGGAAAGCAAGAAAACAAUUGAGUGAGUGCCGUAAUGUUUAGUAACAAUUCAUCUAGUGAAGGAAGAUGAGUAGGGCCAGAUGUCCUGUCCAGGAAGAAUCUACUGGAAGGAGGAAGAGCUCCACUGGAAAACCUCUGAAGCCCUGAUGGCAACUCCUUUGCAUUCUUCCUCCAAAAGAGCUGGUAGUGAACAAAUGGAGAGGAGAGGAGACAAGAAAAUGAUGUGUCUUAUUGCACAACAGAGUUAGUUUUAAUGAUGCAAAAUCUGGCAUUUGGCAGAGCCAGAAGAAAACAUUUGGAUGCUUUUGAUCAAAGGUGCUUAUGGAAAAUUAUACUGCAAAGCAUCAAAUUUAAUUUGGUCAAGAAGCAAGGAAGACAAGUAUCGCAAACUUCUUCAGUUUGAUGCCUGUGUUAGCAGCUGGGAGGCAGAGUUCUCUGAUGGGACUUGCAACUGUCAGUCUUAAGAUGUAGCUCUUCUCCGUUCUGCUGGUUAUGGCAUGUUUUGUGAAAUCUCUUGGAGCUGAAAACUGCAACUUUUAAAUAUGCAUCUAAAGAUGUCCAUUGCUAAUUUUAUCAUGUGUAAGAUGGACUGAGAAAAUCAACAAGCAGUUGGGCUGUACAGUCUCUCUCUCAUUAAUACAUUUUGUCUCCUGGGAUGGUUUACCCAGAGGAUGUAUCAAGAUAAGUGUUGCAAUAUAUUUACAUUGACAAGAAAACUCUGUUAAGAAAACGACUUUAUUUGUGUGUAUAUAUAUAUACACACACAGACUUAAAAAAUACAUGUGCAUAAAAAUAGUAAAAUGUAUAUGCUGGUUUGAAUUGGUGACAUAUGUUAGGAUUGUACAUGUGUAUCUAUAAGGGGUGUGUGUGUGUCUGUUGAAAUAUAUAUUACUUCUGAAAAGCUUUAAAAAGCUACUUCUUACCUCUCAUUCUUACCUCAAUUCCCAGUAUGCCUCUUCAAUCUCAGUGUUUUAGUUUCUUGCCUGUUAACUUAAUUUUCUAUGUAUCAGAGACUUCUGCAUUCUGGCAAAAUAGUAGGCAAAGCAAUGAAACUCCAUAAACACCACCGUUUCCCGUAUCCUAAUAUUUUAAAAAAUUAUCUCCUGCAGUAUAGUGCCAGAUUGAGAUUGGGAUUAAUUCUCGUGGUAAAUGCAUCCUAAAAAAACCCAGAGAGUAACCAUGAAUAAACAAUUUUUUGAAAGUAAUGUCUAUGUAAAUUAUGAUUCCUCACCUCGGCAGGUCCCUGCUCUGUUACUUUUUUGUUAGAGAAGCUAUUUUUAACAGGUUUUAAUUUCCUAUAAUUUGCCACUUCCCGGUAAGUCUAUGAAGUACACAAGAACAGACAUAUAGGAGGAUUUUUCUGUCUCGUCCAAUGGAGUUCCUAAUUCAGAUAUGGACGGGAAGUAAAGAUGUAUGGUGUGUUUGACUGUUAUUAAGUCUUAUUUUCUGGCAUUUUUUGGGAAGCAGAGAUCACCCAAGAUCUCAGUCCCUCACCUUCUCAAGCUUAGGAGGAGAGGGAAAGGAAGUGCACAUCAUGAAAACAAUCAACAAAUAGCACUCUCAAUGUCUCAGCAAAACAUUCUCUUAAUAGCAUGAUUGUUAAUAAAUUAUGAGAAUUGUUGGGGGGUUUUAUAUUUUAGACUUCCCGUUCCAAGGGGAGCUGGAAAUCCUCAUUUUGAAUUGAACAAGAAAGUUUUAUGCAGUGUGGCUGAGGGUCCAGUUUCUCAUAAGCUUGCAUACCUACCUCCGGUUGUGGUUGCCACUUUGAAACGGAUACAGGGCUGAGGGAUAUCUUUGCUGAGGAGUUGCAAUGAAUAUCCGUAGAAAUUUAAUCCUCCGUUAAUAUUGGAUUUUGAAAAUGGCUCUAGAAAUAGAUUCAAAAUUAAAGGUAAUAUCAUUCCGAAAGCUCAAACAUUGAGAGCCACUCUUUAGAUGUGGCCAUAAAUUCAGUAUUCAAAUCAGUUUCAUACUGUUAUUGCUGUUUCUAGGUGAAAGACUAUAAUAGCAAAAAAUAGGGAAUUAUUCAAAUCUUUAAGAUUGCUAAAUAUUUAUCCUAGAGACAAACUUGUCAUUAAACUGAAAGCUAAACAUUUUAAAUGUGCUGCUAGAUGUUGAAGUAAGCGUUGAAGUAGUUGGUUUGCUCACUUCUGCCAUUGUCUGCUCUUUUAGAAUCCUGCUCGUUGGAAGAGUGGGGGUGAAUUAAAAUAGGAAUAACUUAGCUCCGCAGUAUUUUGUUCCUUACUGUUCAGUGGCUUUGCUGCUUACCAUUGUGGAGAUCAACUAUACCCCUGGUUCAGUUCUUACUGAGAUAAUGAACGGGAAUCUUUUGCUUACCCAGAGGCGUUAUUAGAGGUAUUAUUCACAAAUAUCAAGGCUUGAAGUGUAAAAGAGAAACUGAAAAUAACACCGGAGACAGGAAGUCGCAUUUGAAAAGAAAUGUUGAAGGGAGAAGACAACCAUCAGGAAAAUUGCUACUGCCAGAGCGGUUCAGUGGAAGGAUGCUCUGUGAAUGCCGCUAGAAAGGAGUGAUGUCCCCCGUUUGUUCUCUCCGAUAAGGUGGAUGAGAUGAUGUUUAAACUAAAGGCUGCUGGAGGAGUGGGUGUAACGAGGUGGAGGUUACACUGGGGUGAGAAAUACAACUUUUAAUUGCGGCAAAGUAGCCCCAUGAAAGUCAGCAGUCGAAUAAAAGUUGGAAGGGAAGAAAAGCACCUGCCUCCAGUUAAACAGACGCCGAUAAAAAGUAAACCUGCUACAGUCUGUGCUCUGUGCGUUCCUCUGAAGUGCUGGAAUGCGGGGAAAAUCACAGCCCAAAGGGUUCACUCAUCCUCAGUCGGUCUUGCCCUUGUAAAUAUGGAGGAAACAGUUGAAUUCCACAGAAACUGCUGGAAAACUGGAUUUAAUUUCUGUCAUUAUUUGGGGUUCUAUG